rnacentral:rRNA from 1 species
UACGGAGGGUGCAAGCGUUAUCCGGAAUCAUUGGGUUUAAAGGGUCCGCAGGCGGAUUUAUAAGUCAGUGGUGAAAGCCCGUCGCUUAACGACGGAACUGCCAUUGAUACUGUAAGUCUUGAAUUCGAUCGAAGUGGGCGGAAUAUGACAUGUAGCGGUGAAAUGCUUAGAUAUGUCAUAGAACACCGAUAGCGAAGGCAGCUCACUAGUCUGGAUUGACGCUCAGGGACGAAAGCGUGGGGAGCAAACAGG